UGGAUCUUUCGAAUAAAAAACUUGUUUCACUUGAGAGGAAAAUACAUAUGGCUCGUCCAUCAAUUGUUGUCCAGUGUGAAUCAAGCGAGAGAAAUUCAACAUUGUAAAACCAAAUUGAUCUUUUUUAAUUCCUCGAGCAGUAUUAGCAUCAGCCCAAUCACACCGAAAUAAGACAACUUUCCAUCUGCCAUAGUAAUCCAACUCAAUAAUGUCGGUAAGAAGUCCGUAAUACUCCACAUUACCCUCAAUCGGAUUACUGUCCCUAGCACUAGCAUAACUUGUAAUUGAAGAAUU
rnacentral:lncRNA from 1 species